AUGUGCCUCAUUGUUUCACUUCUUGAUUUUAAUGAGAUUGCUGGAUUCAUUUUCUAGACAAACAGUUCUGAAGUCCAUACUGGGAUUUGGAAAGUGCUGUUAGAACAUUUUCUUCUAAUUUAGCUUUGUGAGUUCUUUCGGCUCUGUACAGAAUAGACAUUUCACAGGUAGAUUAAUGAAUCACCACUGUCAUUACUCGGCAUGUUUCUGGGAAGUGGAAUGUCAUAUGUAUGGAGGUCAGGAUCCACUUGUGCUGGACAAAAGGACAAUGGCCCCCUCUACUGAACAGCGUGAACGGAAAGACCGCCUCCCCAUGUUGGAACUCCGGAUUGCCCAGGAACGUCUGAAACAAGGACUUGUGCCCCCCUAAAUUUCUAACGCGUCUGAGAAUAUGCCACAGGCGAUAUGUCGACCAAAGAAGAGGGUUAUCUUUCAAUUCCUGGUCGAAUUCCGCUUCCACCCCGUGAAGGAAAGAUAUUAGGUUUCUGGACCCUACAAAUUGUGCCUCCAGCUGUGUAUUAGCAUAAGUGUUACUAUCAUGUAACCAGUCUCUUAAAAAUCUCAAUAAAGAAGCAUGGUUGUA